AGUGAACGCUGGCGGCAGGCCUAACACAUGCAAGUCGAACGGCAGCACAGGAGAGCUUGCUCUCUGGGUGGCGAGUGGCGGACGGGUGAGGAUAGCGUCGGAAUCUGCCUAUUUGUGGGGGAUAACCUCGGGAAACCGGGACUAAUACCGCAUACGACCUACGGGUGAAAGCGGAGGACCUUCGGGCUUCGCGCAGAUAGAUGAGCCGACGUCGGAUUAGCUAGUUGGCGGGGUAAUGGCCCACCAAGGCGACGAUCCGUAGCUGGUCUGAGAGGAUGAUCAGCCACACUGGAACUGAGACACGGUCCAGACUCCUACGGGAGGCAGCAGUGGGGAAUAUUGGACAAUGGGCGCAAGCCUGAUCCAGCCAUGCCGCGUGGGUGAAGAAGGCCUUCGGGUUGUAAAGCCCUUUUGUUGGGAAAGAAAAGCAGUCGGUUAAUACCCGGUUGUCAUGACGGUACCCAAAGAAUAAGCACCGGCUAACUUCGUGCCAGCAGCCGCCGUAACAC
rnacentral:rRNA from 1 species